rnacentral:rRNA from 1 species
UGGGGAAUUUUCCGCAAUGGGCGAAAGCCUGACGGAGCAACGCCGCGUGAGGGAUGAAGGCCUCUGGGCUGUAAACCUCUUUUAUCAAGGAAGAAGAUCUGACGGUACUUGAUGAAUAAGCCACGGCUAAUUCCGUGCCAGCAGCCGCGGUAAUACGGGAGUGGCAAGCGUUAUCCGGAAUUAUUGGGCGUAAAGCGUCCGCAGGCGGUCUUGUAAGUCUGCCGUUAAAGCGUGGAGCUUAACUCCAUUUCGGCGGUGGAAACUACAAGACUAGAGUGUGGUAGGGGCAGAGGGAAUUCCCGGUGUAGGCGGUGAAAUGCGUAGAUAUCGGGAAGAACACCAGUGGCGAAGGCGCUCUG